rnacentral:rRNA from 1 species
GAUGAACGCUGGCGGUCUGUAUAAGCAUGCAAGUCGAACGGAGUGCCUUUGAAAGAGGCCUCUUCCAAUUGAUAAGGUUACUUAGUGGCGGACGGGUGAGUAACGCGUGAGGAACCUGCCUUGGAGUGGGGAAUAACACAGUGAAAAUUGUGCUAAUACCGCAUAAUGCAGUUGGGCCGCAUGGCUCUGACUGCCAAAGAUUUAUCGCUCUGAGAUGGCCUCGCGUCUGAUUAGCUAGUUGGUGGGGUAACGGCCCACCAAGGCGACGAUCGGUAGCCGGACUGAGAGGUUGGCCGGCCACAUUGGGACUGAGACACGGCCCAGACUCCUACGGGAGGCAGCAGUGGGGAAUAUUGGGCAAUGGGCGCAAGCCUGACCCAGCAACGCCGCGUGAAGGAAGAAGGCUUUCGGGUUGUAAACUUCUUUUCUUAGGGACGAAGCAAGUGACGGUACCUAAGGAAUAAGCCACGGCUAACUACGUGCCAGCAGCCGCGGUAAUACGUAGGUGGCAAGCGUUAUCCGGAUUUACUGGGUGUAAAGGGCGUGUAGGCGGGAUUGCAAGUCAGAUGUGAAAACCGCGGGCUCAACCUGUGGCCUGCAUUUGAAACUGUAGUUCUUGAGUACUGGAGAGGCAGACGGAAUUCCUAGUGUAGCGGUGAAAUGCGUAGAUAUUUGGAGGAACACCAGUGGCGAAGGGGGGCUGCUGGACAGCAA